rnacentral:rRNA from 1 species
GAUGAGCGCUGGCGGCGUGCCUAAUACAUGCAAGUCGAGCGAACGGACGAGAAGCUUGCUUCUCUGAUGUUAGCGGCGGACGGGUGAGUAACACGUGGAUAACCUACCUAUAAGACUGGGAUAACUUCGGGAAACCGGAGCUAAUACCGGAUGAUAUUUUGAACCGCAUGGUUCAAAAGUGAAAGACGGUCUUGCUGUCACUUAUAGAUGGAUCCGCGCUGCAUUAGCUAGUUGGUAAGGUAACGGCUUACCAAGGCAACGAUGCAUAGCCGACCUGAGAGGGUGAUCGGCCACACUGGAACUGAGACACGGUCCAGACUCCUACGGGAGGCAGCAGUAGGGAAUCUUCCGCAAUGGGCGAAAGCCUGACGGAGCAACGCCGCGUGAGUGAUGAAGGUCUUCGGAUCGUAAAACUCUGUUAUUAGGGAAGAACAUAUGUGUAAGUAACUGUUCACAUCUUGACGGUACCUAAUCAGAAAGCCACGGCUAACUACGUG